CAGUGAGACUCCCACAGCAGAGACAACCAAACUGAAGCUUUUUCUCCUGAGAAGUCACUGGAAUGACCGAUAUGAAGACUUGGAUGGUUGAAAGUCACACAUUCUCUUCCCGUUAAUGACUUUGAGCCUCAAGGCCUCAGACAGGAGCCUGCAGACCUUCGGAUUGAUCCCCUCCCGUCUCCUUCAGAACAUUUCAACUGUUGUGCUCAGAAGAGAAGCUGUGCCGUAUGUGAGAAACACCCAGCAGAGAACAGAAGAACAGCUAGAGCACCUCUUAAAAAGUCACACUUUCAUGUUCUCUUUGAGAGACUUUAAAAGGACAUACCUGACAAACAUUUGCUAUUUUAAUGUUGCUGUAGGGUUAGGUAAGUUGUGGGCAAGUUUUCAGAUAAGGGAAAAAAAAUGUAUUAUGUUAACCCUUGCAAGUCUUAAUUACAUUUUACAAUGUUAUGAGGUGUUUUUAAUUAUAUAACAAGUGUCAGCAUUAUUCGGCUGUUUUUUAUUCCUCUUUUUGCUUAAACUAUAUUGUAGUACAGUUUAGAAUAAGUACAUAUGUGUACUUCUUUGUACUACCUAUAAGAUGUACUAGCUUCCACUGAAGCACAGUAAAGCAUAAGACAUUCCAAAUACUAAAUCCCUUUUCACUGAAUUGUUACGCUGAUCAUAUCAUUUGUAUCAUAAACUGAUGUUUUAGUUAGAAAAAUGCAAGUUUGAAGCAUUCUCACUAGUAGUCCCAGAUUUGACCCCAACUUAUGUGACAGCGGUGUUAAAAAAAGCUCUCAGUGCAUAACCUGGUUUGAGGAUCUUUCAUGCCUUGUGUCUUUGGGAUGACCUGCUGUUUUUGGUCCUAUCAGAGUUCUUACAUCUCUUCGGCGUCUCUCUGGCAGCAGAGGACAGAGGAGAAGAUCAAGACGCCUUUGAUGUGUUGCCCACUGCAGGCGAUACCGGGAUAUGGAAUAUGAUUUCUGAAAAAUGUAACAUCUAGAUUAAAAAGUAACAUCUGGUUGAAAUUCACAACAGGGAGUGGUAUGAUUUAUGAGCUGAAUUAUUUUGAAGUGAAGUAAAUAGAUUGUUCAUUAUAUUAUUUUCUUAAGCAAACUAAGCUUUCUUUGACACUUUGAUACAUUUGCUUGGUUUUGUGUAUCAGGGAUAAAAAAAAAAAUCAAAAAGAAUUUCACAGUUUAGGUUUCCAUUCCUCUUUAAAAUUCUGGUUCCUUAAAGGUUCCAAUAAUUAUUAUUUUUAGGGCUUUAAUAGUGAAAUAUUUGGGAAAAGUCUAACUUCUAGCUGUAUGUUUUUACAGAGUAUAAAGAACCAGCUCAAAAGUGUGAUUUGUUCAAAAGUCAAAUGUUUUUUUAAUUCACUAAAAAGAAUGUCCGGGAGUCGAACUACUGGAUCCUUUGUUUGAUUCACUACAAAGAACCAUCUCAAGACAGUCAUUCAAUCUGGAGUCAGGCUGCCCUGUGUUUUUGUU
ensembl:lncRNA